UGUCAGCCGCCGCGGUAAUACAGAGGUCUCAAGCGUUGUUCGGAUUCAUUGGGCGUAAAGGGUGCGUAGGUGGCGAUGUAAGUCGGAUGUGAAAUCUCCAAGCUUAACUUGGAAACUGCAUUCGAUACUGCGUUGCUAGAGGACUGUAGAGGGCAUUGGAAUUCACGGUGUAGCAGUGAAAUGCGUAGAUAUCGUGAGGAAGACCAGUGGCGAAGGCGAAUGCCUGGGCAGUUCCUGACACUGAGGCACGAAGGCCAGGGGAGCAAACGGGAUUAGAUACCCCGGUAGUCCUGGCAGUAAACGGUGCACGUUUGGUGUGGGAGGAUUCGACCCCUUCCGUGCCGGAGCAAACGCGUUAAACGUGCCGCCUGGGGAGUACGGUCGCAAGAUUAAAACUCAAAGGAAUUGACGG
rnacentral:rRNA from 1 species